rnacentral:lncRNA from 1 species
UGAGAUUUUUCGAAUAUUCAGUUCAACUCGAAUUGGAAAAAUCAAAAUUCAUAUUCAUUUGAGUUGUGAUAUUUUUGGGUAAAUAUUCAUGAAAAUGUACCUGAAUAUUCAUUUUCCGAUUCAUGAAUAUUCUUUGUGAAUAUUCAUGAAUAUUUAUGUCAAUUCACGUCAAAUUGAUUUACAAAUUUUUAAAAACAAAACAUUUACGCUCUUAGAGCAGCAGCUUUUAGUCUCUAAAUAGCCAUUUGGCUAGCAGACAACAAAUCAUGCCUCUAUGGUUUAUUUCUUUCUCAAGAAAAGCAUAUGGCACUGAGGCUUUUUAAUUCAAAUGAGUACACUACUCCACUCUCUUUUUUCGAUUAAAUUGAGUGGCAAGUGCUAACUGCCAACUACCAUAGCGAGUUACCGUACUUUUUUUGCGUUGUAUUUGAUUUGGAAUUUUGGAAAUGAAUCCUAAAUCAAAACAACAACAGAAAAAAUCCACCAACACCAGUAAAUCAUUUCAAGAUAGUAAAACCCCUGUUGUUCAACAUACUGUAGGUGUUAUCAUAUCAUAUUAGAUUCUGAUUCUUCAAUCGAAGAAGAAGCUGAUGUGACUGAGAGUGUUGACCCUCUUCCUACUUCUUUGACAGAGCAGAAUUCAACAGCUUCAGCUAGCACAGAACUGCCAAGUGAAGAGUUGAGACGUUGGCCCAUUUCUGCAACUGGAACAUUUUGAAAAGUUA